rnacentral:rRNA from 1 species
UACGUAGGGGGCAAGCGUUGUCCGGAAUCAUUGGGCGUAAAGAGCGUGUAGGCGGCCAGAAAAGUCCGCUGUGAAAACUCGAGGCUCAACUUCGAGCUGUCGGUGGAAACUUUCUGGCUAGAGUCCGGAAGAGGAGAAUGGAAUUCCUGGUGUAGCGGUGAAAUGCGCAGAUAUCAGGAGGAACACCAAUGGCGAAGGCAGCACUCUGGGACGGUACUGACGCUGAGACGCGAAAGCGUGGGGAGCAAACAGG